rnacentral:rRNA from 1 species
UACGUAGGGUGCAAGCGCUAAUCGGAAUUACUGGGCGUAAAGCGUGCGCAGGCGGUUUUGUAAGUCUGUCGUGAAAUCCCCGGGCUUAACCUGGGAAUGGCGAUGGAGACUGCAAGGCUAGAGUUUGGCAGAGGGGGGUAGAAUUCCACGUGUAGCAGUGAAAUGCGUAGAGAUGUGGAGGAACACCGAUGGCGAAGGCAGCCCCCUGGGUCAAAACUGACGCUCAUGCACGAAAGCGUGGGGAGCAAACAGG